GGUUCGGGUUGUCAUGCCAAUGGCACUGCCCGGUAGCUAAAUGCGGAAGAGAUAAGUGCUGAAAGCAUCUAAGCACGAAACUUGCCCCGAGAUGAGUUCUCCCUGAGACUUUAAGUCUCCUGAAGGAACGUUGAAGACGACGACGUUGAUAGGUCGGGUGUGUAAGCGCAGCGAUGCGUUGAGCUAACCGAUACUAAUGAACCGUGAGGCUUAACCUU
rnacentral:rRNA from 1 species